GCUGGGUGUGGUGGUGCACGCCUGUAGUCCCAGCUACUUGGGAGUCUGAGGCAGGAGGAUCGCUCGAGGCCAGGAGUUUGAGGCUACAGUGAGCUAGGAUUGUGCCACUGCACUCCAGCCUGGGCGACAGAGUGAGAUCCUGUCUCAA
rnacentral:SRP_RNA from 1 species